UACGUAGGGCGCAAGCGUUAUCCGGAAUUAUUGGGCGUAAAGAGCUCGUAGGCGGUUUGUCGCGUCUGCCGUGAAAGUCCGGGGGCUCAACUCCGGAUCUGCGGUGGGUACGGGCAGACUAGAGUGCAGUAGGGGGAGACUGGAAUUCCUGGUGUAGCGGUGAAAUGCGCAGAUAUCAGGAGGAACACCGAUGGCGAAGGCAGGUCUCCGGGCUGUAACUGACGCUGAGGAGCGAAAGCAUGGGGGAGCGAACAGG
rnacentral:rRNA from 1 species